rnacentral:rRNA from 1 species
AGAUUUUAACACGAAGUGAGUGGCGAACGGGUGAGUAACACGUGGGUAACCUGCCCAGAAGUAGGGGAUAACACCUGGAAACAGAUGCUAAUACCGUAUAACAGAGAAAACCGCAUGGUUUUCUUUUAAAAGAUGGCUCUGCUAUCACUUCUGGAUGGACCCGCGGCGUAUUAGCUAGUUGGUGAGGUAAAGGCUCACCAAGGCAGUGAUACGUAGCCGACCUGAGAGGGUAAUCGGCCACAUUGGGACUGAGACACGGCCCAGACUCCUACGGGAGGCAGCAGUAGGGAAUCUUCCACAAUGGACGCAAGUCUGAUGGAGCAACGCCGCGUGAGUGAAGAAGGGUUUCGGCUCGUAAAGCUCUGUUGUUAAAGAAGAACGUGGGUAAGAGUAACUGUUUACCCAGUGACGGUAUUUAACCAGAAAGCCACGGCUAACUACGUGCCAGCAGCCGCGGUAAUACGUAGGUGGCAAGCGUUAUCCGGAUUUAUUGGGCGUAAAGCGAGCGCAGGC